AACGAACGUUGGCGGCGUGGAUUAGGCAUGCAAGUCGUACGGGAGUUUGGGGGCAACUCCGAAUUCAGUGGCGGACGGGUGAGUAACGCGUGGGAAACCUACCCUCGAGACUGGGAUAACCACCCCCGAACGGGGUGCUAAUACCGGAUAAGACCACGGGGCCGCAUGGUCCUGAGGUCAAAGGUGGCCUCUGCUUGCAAGCUACCGCUUGUGGAUGGUCCCGCGUCCCAUUAGCUAGUUGGUGGGGUAAGAGCCCACCAAGGCUACGAUGGGUAGCUGGUCUGAGAGGAUGGUCAGCCACACUGGGACUGAGAUACGGCCCAGACUCCUACGGGAGGCUG
rnacentral:rRNA from 1 species